UCAACCAAUCACAAAAAACUUUAUUUCCAUUUUUUUUUUCUUGAAACAGUCUCACUCUGUUCCCCAGGCUUGAGGGCAGUGGCAUAAUCAUAGCCGUCUGCAGCAUCAUCACCUGGCCUCAAGUGAACCUCCCACCUCAGCCUUCUGAGUAGCUGUGACUACAGGCAUGUGCCACCACGCCUGGCUACUUUUUGCUAUUUUUUUCCUUAGGUUUUUUUUGUUUUUUUGUUUGUUUGUUUGUUUUGAGAUGGAGUCUUACUCUGUUGCCCAGGCUGGAGUGCAGUGGCACGAUCUUGGCUCACUGCAACCUCCACCUCCUGGGUUCAAGUGAUUCUCCUGCCCUCCUGCCUCAGCCUCCCGAGUAGCUGGGAUUACAGGCGAGUGCCCAGCUAAUUUUUUUAUUUUUAGUAGAGACGGGCUUUCACCAUGUUGGUCAGGCCGGUCUCAAACUCCUGACCUUGUGAUCUGCCUGCCUCAGCCUCCCAGAGUGGUGGUAUUACAGGAGUGAACCACAGCACCCUGCCCACCAACCUCCUACUUGCCUGGGGACUAGAUUGCCUUUGUAGGACUAACAUUAGCCACAAAUUAGAAAUUAUGGUUUAGGAGUCAUGCAGCUGGAGGCUACAAGAUUCUGACCCUCCCUAAACUGCUCCUAAGAUCAGUGCUUGAGACAUUUUGCAGAUCCUCCCCUUGAUGGCUCAGCUGGCACCACCCAGAUCAACAAACAGGCUCAUCUGAUCUUGUGGCCCCCGCCCAGGAACUGACUCAGCACAAGAAGACAGCUCCGACUCCCUAUGAUUUCCUCCCUGACCAAUCAGCACUCCUGGCUCACUGGCCUCCCCCGACCCACCAAGUUGUCUUUAAAAACUCUGCUCCCUGAAUGUUCAGGGAGACUGAUUUGAGUAAUAAUAAAACUCCAAUCUCCUGCACAGCCAGCUCUGUGUGAAUGACUCUAUUGCAAUCCUCCUGUCCUGAUGAAUCAGCUCUCUCUAGGCAGCAGGGAAGGUGAACCCCUUGGGUGGUUAUACUGUUAUCCAGAGAAGGGGGUUAUAUGUAAAGAUAAGCAAUCUUUUGUUACAAUAAAUGCUUUUUCAGGAAUUUGUUGAGGCAAACAGUGAAAGCACGUAUUGGUUUACAGUCUAAUAUUCCUGAACAAGAAUCUCCUGGAUCAAAUAGUAAGUCAUGUUGACACAGAGAUCUUAGGUCUCAGUCCUGAUGGCUAAGCUGUGUGGAUGCAGGUGGUCUUAUUCCUCAUGAUCAGGAAUGUAGGCCCUGAGAUAGUCUGAACUCAAAUCUCAUGUUGAAUUGUAAUCCACAGUGUUGGAGGUCUGGCCUGGUGGGAGGCGUUUGGGUCAUCAGAUCCCUCAUGAAUGGCUUGGGCCAUCCCCUUGGCCAUAAGUGAGCUCUCUCUAAGUUCACAUGAGAUCUUCUCACUUAAAAAUGGGUGGCACCUCCCCCUACUCUCUGGAGCUUCUGCCUGCUUUCACCAUGUGACCUGCCUGUUCCCCCUUCUCUCCUUCCACCAAGACUAAAAGCUCCCUGAGGCUUCACCAGAAGCUAAGCAGAUGCCAGCGCCAUGCUUCCUGAACAGCCUGUGGAACCUCUUAAGCACUAUUUGAACAUAUAAUGAUACUAAGAAAUUACUGCUUUCUUGUGGCUGAGCGUGGUGGCUCACGCUUGUAAUCCCAGCACUUUGGGAGGCCAAGGCAGGUGGAUCCCCUGAGGUUGGGAGUUUAAGACCAACCUGACCAAUAUGGAGAAACCCCG
rnacentral:lncRNA from 10 species